GCAGUCGAGCGGCAGCACGGGUACUUGUACCUGGUGGCGAGCGGCGGACGGGUGAGUAAUGCCUAGGAAUCUGCCUGGUAGUGGGGGAUAACGUUCGGAAACGAACGCUAAUACCGCAUACGUCCUACGGGAGAAAGCAGGGGACCUUCGGGCCUUGCGCUAUCAGAUGAGCCUAGGUCGGAUUAGCUAGUUGGUGAGGUAAUGGCUCACCAAGGCGACGAUCCGUAACUGGUCUGAGAGGAUGAUCAGUCACACUGGAACUGAGACACGGUCCAGACUCCUACGGGAGGCAGCAGUGGGGAAUAUUGGACAAUGGGCGAAAGCCUGAUCCAGCCAUGCCGCGUGUGUGAAGAAGGUCUUCGGAUUGUAAAGCACUUUAAGUUGGGAGGAAGGGCAGUUACCUAAUACGUGAUUGUUUUGACGUUACCGACAGAAUAAGCACCGGCUAACUCUGUGCCAGCAGCCGCGGUAAUACAGAGGGUGCAAGCGUUAAUCGGAAUUACUGGGCGUAAAGCGCGCGUAGGUGGUUCGUUAAGUUGGAUGUGAAAUCCCCGGGCUCAACCUGGGAACUGCAUUCAAAACUGUCGAGCUAGAGUAUGGUAGAGGGUGGUGGAAUUUCCUGUGUAGCGGUGAAAUGCGUAUAUAUUGCAAGGAACACCAGUGGCGAAUGCGACCACCUGGACUGAUACUGACACUGAGGUGCGAAAGCGUGGGGAGCAAACGGGAUUAGAUACCCCGGUAGUCCACGCCGCAAACGAUGUCCACUAGCCCGUUGGGAGCCUUGAGCUCUCAGUGGCGCACCUUACGCAUUAAGUUGACCGCCUGAGGGAGUAC
rnacentral:rRNA from 1 species